rnacentral:rRNA from 1 species
GAGUUUGAUCAUGGCUCAGGAUGAACGCUAGCGGGAGGCCUAACACAUGCAAGCCGAGCGGUAGAAGUCCUUCGGGACUUUGAGAGCGGCGUACGGGUGCGUAACACGUGUGCAACCUACCUUUAUCUGGGGAAUAGCCUUUCGAAAGGAAGAUUAACACCCCAUAAUAUAAUGAUUGGCAUCAAUUAUUAUUGAAAACUCCGGUGGAUAGAGAUGGGCACGCGCAAGAUUAGAUAGUUGGUGAGGUAACGGCUCACCAAGUCUGUGAUCUUUAGGGGUCCUGAGAGGGAGAUCCCCCACACUGGUACUGAGACACGGACCAGACUCCUACGGGAGGCAGCAGUGAGGAAUAUUGGACAAUGGGUGAAAGCCUGAUCCAGCCAUCCCGCGUGAAGGAUGACGGUCCUAUGGAUUGUAAACUUCUUUUGUACAGGAAUAAACCUACUCUCGUGAGAGUAGCUGAAGGUACUGUACGAAUAAGCACCGGCUAACUCCGUGCCAGCAGCCGCGGUAAUACGGAGGGUGCAAGCGUUAUCCGGAUUUAUUGGGUUUAAAGGGUCCGUAGGCGGGCCUGUAAGUCAGUGGUGAAAUCUCAUAGCUUAACUAUGAAACUGCCAUUGAUACUGCAGGUCUUGAGUAAAUUUGAAGUGGCUGGAAUAAGUAGUGUAGCGGUGAAAUGCAUAGAUAUUACUUAGAACACCAAUUGCGAAGGCAGGUCACUAAGAUUUAACUGACGCUGAUGGACGAAAGCGUGGGUAGCGAACAGGAUUAGAUACCCUGGUAGUCCACGCCGUAAACGAUGCUAACUCGUUUUUGGAUCUUCGGAUUCAGAGACCAAGCGAAAGUGAUAAGUUAGCCACCUGGGGAGUACGUUCGCAAGAAUGAAACUCAAGGAAUUGA